AGAGUUUGAUCCUGGCUCAGGAUGAACGCUGGCGGCGUGCUUAACACAUGCAAGUCGAACGGAAAGGCCAGUGCUUGCGCUGGUACUCGAGUGGCGAACGGGUGAGUAACACGUGGGUGAUCUGCCCUGCACUUCGGGAUAAGCUUGGGAAACUGGGUCUAAUACCGGAUAGGACCAUUGGUUGGUGCCUUUGGUGGAAAGUUUUUUCGGUGUGGGAUGAGCUCGCGGCCUAUCAGCUUGUUGGUGGGGUAAUGGCCUACCAAGGCGUCGACGGGUAGCCGGCCUGAGAGGGUGUACGGCCACAUUGGGACUGAGAUACGGCCCAGACUCCUACGGGAGGCAGCAGUGGGGAAUAUUGCACAAUGGGCGCAAGCCUGAUGCAGCGACGCCGCGUGGGGGAUGACGGCCUUCGGGUUGUAAACUCCUUUCGCCAAAGACGAAUGUGGACGGUAUUUGGAGAAGAAGCACCGGCUAACUACGUG
rnacentral:rRNA from 1 species